ACCCUUUAACGUUUGAUGUUCUAACCCGGGUCCAUAAUCUGGAUCGGGGACCGUGUCUGGUGGGUAGUUUGACUGGGGCGGUCUCCUCCCAAAGAGUAACGGAGGAGCACGAAGGUUGGCUAAGCAUGGUCGGACAUCAUGCGGUUAGUGCAAAGGCAUAAGCCAGCUUGACUGCGAGAGUGACGGCUCGAGCAGGUACGAAAGUAGGUCUUAGUGAUCCGGUGGUUCUGAAUGGAAGGGCCAUCGCUCAACGGAUAAAAGGUACUCCGGGGAUAACAGGCUGAUACCGCCCAAGAGUUCAUAUCGACGGCGGUGUUUGGCACCUCGAUGUCGGCUCAUCACAUCCUGGGGCUGAAGUAGGUCCCAAGGGUAUGGCUGUUCGCCAUUUAAAGUGGUACGCGAGCUGGGUUUAGAACGUCGUGAGACAGUUCGGUCCCUAUCUGCCGUGGGCGCUGGAAGAUUGAGAGGGGUUGCUCCUAGUACGAGAGGACCGGAGUGAACGCACCACUGGUGUACGGGUUGUGAUGCCAAUUGCAUUGCCCGGUAGCUAAGUGCGGAAGAGAUAACCGCUGAAAGCAUCUAAGCGGGAAACUUGCCUCGAGAUGAGUCUUCCCUGACCCUUUAAGGGUCCUGAAGGAACGUUUGAGACUAAGACGUUGAUAGGCUGGGUGUGUAAGCGCAGCGAUGCGUUGAGCUGACCAGUACUAAUGAACCGGGAGGCUUAACCUG
rnacentral:rRNA from 1 species